AGGUUGGCAAAGACCAAGGAUGGGCCAGGCUGGGAGAGAACUGAGGUCUGGAUGACCAGGGAUUCUCAGCAUGAGGUGGGUGAGGCAUCUGUGACCUCACAAUUGAACCCUGCCCUAGUAAUGCCGGGGUCUUACCUGAGGACAAGCCAGAGUCCAGAAGGAGGGCUUGAUUCACAGAAAGUGCAUGUGACUGGGUGACAGUUGCUGAGGCAGAGCCAGCACCUGACUUGGAACUCCAGUUUCCAAACGACAGGAUGAAAUUCUGCUGUUAUGCUGGUCUCCAAAGUGAAAGUCUCAGAAGAUAUUGACUGUUUCAUGGCAGGACCAGAAAUGCUGAAAAUAGAUCAAGACUUAGUCAAAGAUUUGGGCAAAAAUCGGCUGGAAUGGAUGGACUACCUCCACCCUUAUGAUAAACAGGUACUCUGACCCUGAAAAAGGCUGGACGCCAAAUCAGAAGAUAUGGGGAACCAAGGAAUUCCCUUACCCUAAAGAAGCCUGGGCCCAAUAGGGAGAAAACAUGGGCCUGGGCCAUUCAAAUGAAGGAAGCCAGGGCUAAACCAAGAAAAUGAGAGUGACCAGGCCAAUCCUGACCCUGAAAAAGCCCAGGCCCAAAGCAAGAAGAGAUGUGGGCCUGGGCUA